UACGUAGGGGGGCAAGCGUUGUCCGGAAUUACUGGGCGUAAAGACGCGUGUAGGCGGGACGACAAGUCCGGCGUGAAAGGCUUGGGCUCAACCCGGAGAUGGCCGUUGGAAACUGUCGUUCUUGAGGGUCGAAGAGGAGAGUGGAAUUCCUGGUGUAGCGGUGAAAUGCGUAGAGAAUCAGGAGGAACAGCCCAUGGCGAAGGCAG
rnacentral:rRNA from 1 species